CUUUACUAUCAUAAGGCAUAGAAUAAAGCCAUUAUAACUGCUAAAUUUCCCAUUCCAGUAGUGUUUGGAUUGGGUAAUUUUCUAGCUAAGUGGUUUAUGCUGCUCUGUGGGUUCUCCAGAUCUGCAUUUUAAGAGCCGGUAGAUCCUUCCCUCCACCAGGUUACUCUGAUUGUCCAGAUACUCAUCCCUGAUGCUGAUAUCAGAACAGAGGAAAGCCAGAUGCUGGUUGAGCUUCACUAGUCCCACCAGGACGAUCCCGCCGAACAACAUGAGGCUGGGCCACAGCAGACUCCAUCGUCACAGCCAACUCCACUCUGUGUCUCAAAUCCUCCGACAUACACGUUGAGCCACUCAACAAACAGCAGGAAAGCCGUCCACAAGGAGCCUUGGCCAGCAGAUCCUGAUGUCAUCAGACACUGCCUUCAUCUUCUUUCCUGAAUGACUGUGAACAUUCUCCAGUAGUCACUGGGAUUCCUCUACUGCAGCCAAGCUUAAUUGGGAGCAGCAUAAGAAUCUUAAUAGCAGCAUAAGAAAUGGGACAUCACUACUACACCAUCAUUUAUCAUUAUACAUCAAGGUUGUAACAAGCACAUAGUAAGCACCAAUUUGUAAAAAAAAAUAAUUGUGUUCAAGUUUUUUGGACAUGACCACCAGAAAACAGUAGUUAUUAACCUUACACAUUACUAAUUGUUUUACACACUGUAAAGCCUAACAUUUUAGUUUAACUUGUAAUUUAAAAAAAGUUACUUUGACUA